UCUUUUUUUUUUUUUUUUUGCUUCAAUCAGUGAUGGUCAAUCUCUAUUGUUUGCAAUUAAGAAUCCUGAUGCAUUUGCUUUUGGCAAUUUCAUUGUAAAAUCUUUGUCCAUGCCUAUGUACUGAAUGGUAUUACUUAGAUUUUCUUCUAGGGUUUUUAUGGUUUGGGGUUUUACAUUUAAGUCUUUACUCCAUCUUGAGUUAAUAUUUGUAUAAGGUGUCAGGAAGAGGUCCAGUUUCAGUUUUCUGCAUAUGGCUAGUCAGCUUUCCCAGUACCACUCAUUAAAUAGGAAAUUCUUUCCCUAUUGCUUGUUUUUGUCAGGUUUGUAGAAGAUCAGAUGGUUGUAGAUAUGUGGUCUUAUUUCUGAGAUCUCUAUUCUGUUCCAUUGGUAUAUGUGUCUAUUUUGGUACCAGUACCAUGCUGUUUUGCUUACUGUAGCCUUGUAGUAUAGUUUGAAGUCAGGUAGUGUGAUGCCUCCAGCUCUGUUCUUUUUGCUUAGGAUUGUCUUGGCUAUACAGGCUCUUUUUUUUGGUUCCAUAUGAAUUUUAAAUUUGUUUUUUUCUAAUUCUGUAAAGAAUGUCAAUGGUAGUUUGAUGGGAAUAGUAUUGAAUCCAUAAAUUACUUCGGGCAGUAUGGCCAUUUUCAUUAUACUGAUUCUUCCUAUCUAAAAGGAUGGAAUGUUUUUCCAUUUAUUUCUGUCCUCUCUUAUUUCCUUGAGCAGUGGUUUGUAGUUCUCCUUGAAGAGGUCCUUCACAUCCCUUGUUAGCUGUAUUCCUAGGUAUUUUUAAUUUUCUUUGUAGCAAUCGUGAAUGGGAGUUCAUUCAUGAUUUGGCUCUCUGCUUGUCUAUUAUUGGUGUGUAGGAAUGCUUCUGAUUUUUGCACAUUGAUUUUGUAUCCUGAGACUUUGCUGAAGGAACUUCAGCUUAAGGAACUUUUGAGAUCAUGUUCUUUGCAAGGACAUGGAUGAAGCUGGAAACCAUCAUUCUCAGCAAACUAACACAGGAACAGAGAAUCAAACACUGGAUGUUCUCUCAUAACUGGGAGCUGAACAAUGAGAACACAUGGAAACAGGGAGGGGAACAACACACACCCGAGCCUGUUAGGGGGCAGGGAGGGAGAGCAUCAGGAUAAAUGGCUAACGUAUGUGGGGCUUAAUGUGCUAUAUGUGAUGGGUUGAUGGGUGCAGCAAACCACCAUGGCACACGCUUACCUAUGUAACAAACCUGCACAUUCUGCACCUGUAUCCCGGACACAAUUGUGUGGGUUGGCAAGUUGGAAAUCUGUAGAGCAGGCUGGAAACUUGUGCAGGAGCUGAAGCUGCAGCCCACAGGCAAUAUUGCUGCUUCUUCAGAGAGAUUCAGUUUUUAUCUUAAAGCCUUUAGACAAUGACUACUUGCUGACAGCAUUCUCUACUGUUUCCAUCAGGAUGGGCUAGAGUGUGCUGCAAUGACAACAAAGUUCUUAGAGUUCUGUGACUUAGCCCGGUAAAGGUUUAUUUCUCACUCACAAAAAGUCUAAGACCGCAGGCUGUCUCCUCCCUCCAUAGCCUCUAGGUAGGAUCUUUUCUUGCCUCAUCUGGUUUCUGGUGGCCCCAGCUGUUCCUUGACUUUCAGCAUCAUGCCAAUCUCUGCCUCCGUCUUCACACAACCUUCUCUCCUCUGUAUCUAUCUGUGUCCAGAUUUUUCUCUUCAUAUAACGACAUCAGUCACAGUAGAUUUAGAGCCCACCCUAAUGUCCUCAUUUUGACUUGAUGAUAUCUGCGAAGACUAUUUCCAAAUAAGGCCACACUCACAGGUGUGAGGAAUUAGGAUUUCAACAUAGCUUUUAAGGAGACACACACAUAUAGCCUACAAGGUCACCACAGCAGGACAGGAAAGAGCUCAGGGAAAACACAGGAUGUUUUAAGGGCCAAGCGUGGAAGUGACUUCCACCACUUUUGCCUCUCUCCUAUUGGCCAGAACUUGGUCAGUUGGUCUCGGUCUAAUGCGAGAGAAGGGGAGUGCAGAGGAGCAUGUGAAGUCUAGUGAGUAUCCACAGUGUUCUCUGUGACUUCCAUGUUCAGGAGGCUUCAGCUUUGUCCCUCAGGCAACAGGAUGCCAAAAGUGUGGGGAGGGAGAGGGGAGGAGCGGGUAAAGUGAGCAGCAUUCGGUUGUGGCCGAUGGGUUAGACAGGAGCAGUCCAGGAGAUCAGAUGGGUGAAGACGCCAUCGAAGUGACACAGAGGGAGGGUGAUGAAGACCUGCAACAGGGCUGGAUUAGUGAGAAGAGAGCAGGUGAAAUCGCUUUUGGAUUAGUGAGAAGAGAGUGGGUGCAAUCGCUUUUGGAUUAGUGAGAAGAGAGCAGGUGAAAUCACUUUCGGAUCAGUGAGAAAAGAGCGGGUGAAAUCGCUUUUGGAUUAGUGAGAAGAGAGCGGGUGAAAUCGCUUUUGGAUUAGUGAAAAGAGAGCAGGCGAAAUCACUUUUGGAUCAGUGAGAAAAGAGCAGGUGAAAUCGCUUUUGGAUUAGUUAGAAGAGAGAGGGUGAAAUCACUUUGAGGAAAUUUUCAGAGAACCAGACAAAGAGAAAAGAGAAGGAAUCAUUUAUCUGUCUUAACAAUCCAUUCACAUCAAAAUAUUAGAGUUUGAGCUGAAGGAAUGCAUUCAGCUUUGGAGAAACUCUUCCAAAUAGUUCGCAAAGUUUCGCAAACGUCCAAAACCAGAUCAUUUUGCUAAAAUUAUCUAUAUAGUAGACACCACUGAAGUAAGUGCAGAGUUGCACAUAAUGAAACCUGGAGAGGAGAUGAAGGGGCAAAGUCAAACCAGAAAUCUCUUUGAGGACUUUCCUUCUUUUGCAAGGGGAUCACAGAGAAAAGAACACGUUUUGGAAAAAUACCCUGGAGGUUUCAUGUUUCCACUUUGAUGCCACUUCUGCAAGAUGAUGCCAAAAGUUCAGCACUACUCCUAGGGGAGUAAAAGGAACAAGCACCAGGGAUGACCACGUCCACAUCAGAUGUGAGCUAGAGGGGGCGGCUUCCCACGGACACGUUUGAGUUCUGUGUUCUCAGGGAUAACUUCCCCCAGGACGCCCAUGCCCUGCAAGACAAACAGCUCUCCAGGAGGAGGGUGUCCUGCCUUUCAUGCACCCUGGCCACGUCCCUUCCUGGGGAACAUGUGCAUUGAAGGAAUCUUUUGGCUUCCCUGGGCCACAUUGGAAGAAAAAGAACUGUCUUGGGUCACACAUAAAAUACACUAACACGGCUGGGCCUGGUGGCUCACAUCUGUAGUCCCAACACUUUGAGAGGCCCAGGCAGGUGGAUCACCUGAGGUCAGGAGUUUGAGACCAGCCAGGCCAACAUGGUGAAACCCCGUCUCUACGAAAAACACAAAAAUUAGCCGGGCAUGGCAACAUGUGCCUGCAAUCCCAGCUCCUUGGGAGGCUGAGGCAGGAAAAUCGCUUGAACCUGGGAGGCAGAGGUUGCAGCAAGCCGAGAUCAGGCCCUGCACUUCAGCCUGGGCAAGAAAGUGAGACUUUGCCUCAAAAAAAACAAAAACAAAAACAAACAAACAACAACAACAAAAAAAACACUAACAGUAACAAUAGCUGAUGAGCUUUAAAAAAAAAAAUCGCAAGAAAGCCCCAUAAUGUUUUAAAAAAGCUUACAAAUUUGUGUUGGGCCACGUUCAAAGCCAUCCUGGGCAUCAUGCAGACAGCAGGCCACAGGCUGGACAAGCUUCAUGUACAUGUAUUUGCUUCCCAUUCUAUUAUGUGUUCAAAAGGAAUCAACCUGUACUUUAUUCCUAUAAGGAGUUUUGAAACACAAGGCUGAAAGGGAUCGAUUUGUUCAAGAGGAGUCCCCUAGCCCCCUGAAGGGAGGCAAGGCUGAGGAUCCCUUCCAGGUAGAAAGCUUUCCAGGCAAUAGGCAGGACAUGGUUGUGCCGCAGAGGCCUGAGGGCUCUGUUUGUGUGGCAGGGAAUUCAGCUCUGCACGUAGUGGGUUCACGCUGGGAUGCACAUUCUUUGUCGCUCAGUCGAGCUGUAACCCAGAAAGUUAGCAUUUGCUUCAGUGUGACACGGACCAUAUGACAACCAUUCCUUCUCUUUUCCUGCUGCUGCAUGGAGGAACUGCAGCAGGCUGACCUCCACUUAGGGAGACAAGCGC
rnacentral:lncRNA from 10 species